CCUACGGGCGGCAGCAGUGGGGAAUAUUGGACAAUGGGGGCAACCCUGAUCCAGCCAUGCCGCGUGUGUGAAGAAGGCCCUCGGGUUGUAAAGCACUUUCAGUGAGGAAGAACGCCUGGUGGUUAAUACCCAUCAGGAAAGACAUCACUCACAGAAGAAGCACCGGCUAACUCCGUGCCAGCAGCCGCGGUAAUACGGAGGGUGCGAGCGUUAAUCGGAAUUACUGGGCGUAAAGCGCGCGUAGGUGGCUUGAUAAGCCGGUUGUGAAAGCCCCGGGCUCAACCUGGGAACGGCAUCCGGAACUGUCAAGCUAGAGUGCAGGAGAGGAAGGUAGAAUUCCCGGUGUAGCGGUGAAAUGCGUAGAGUUCGGGAGGAAUACCAGUGGCGAAGGCGGCCUUCUGGACUGACACUGACACUGAGGUGCGAAAGCGUGGGUAGCAAACAGGAUUAGAUACCCCGGUAGUC
rnacentral:rRNA from 1 species